UCAAUGAAUAAUAAUGACUGUUAAAGAACCAUCUGUGCAAGUCUUUAUUUAUAUAGAUGCAAACCUGGCAUGGUAUGUCAAAAUAAAAAUGACAGCUACAUUGACUUUGGUUUUAUAUGUUCCCACUUGUCUUAUGCAAUGAUACCAAUAGUUGAGAUUUGCCUGCAAUACUAAUUAUGUAUGUUAAGACAAGCGUGAGUGGAGAUAAAGCCAGUGGUGGGCCAGGAGUGGAUGUCCUAAAAUAGCAUUGGGUCAAAAAGAAACCUUAAUUUCAUGGUGCCAGGUGGAAAAGGAUAUAGUUGGGACAGGGUGGAUUUUCUUCCUUAUGCCCUAUUUCUCCCAUGAUACAAAGUGCUACUGUUC
rnacentral:lncRNA from 1 species